rnacentral:misc_RNA from 1 species
AACGCACAUUGCGCCCGUCAGUAUUCUGGCGGGCAUGCCUGUUCGAGCGUCAUUUCAACCAUCAGGCCCUGUCCAGCCUGUGUUGGAGCCCUGCGGCUGCCGCAGCCCCCUAAAUGUAGUGGCGGGCUCGCUGUUACCCCGAGCGCAGUAGCGUAUCUCGCUCUGGGCGUGGCGGCGGGUGCUAGCCGUGAAACACUCACUAAGGUUGACCUCGGAUCAGGUAGGAAUACCCGCUGAACUUAA